GCGAGAUAGAUGGUGAAAGAGGACGAGGGAGUUCAUUCUUGGUUCGCCCUUGGUUCCCCCUUAA
rnacentral:sRNA from 1 species